rnacentral:rRNA from 1 species
GAUGAACGCUGGCGGCGUGCCUAAUACAUGCAAGUCGAGCGAACAGACGAGGAGCUUGCUCCUCUGACGUUAGCGGCGGACGGGUGAGUAACACGUGGAUAACCUACCUAUAAGACUGGGAUAACUUCGGGAAACCGGAGCUAAUACCGGAUAAUAUAUUGAACCGCAUGGUUCAAUAGUGAAAGACGGUUUUGCUGUCACUUAUAGAUGGAUCCGCGCCGCAUUAGCUAGUUGGUAAGGUAACGGCUUACCAAGGCAACGAUGCGUAGCCGACCUGAGAGGGUGAUCGGCCACACUGGAACUGAGACACGGUCCAGACUCCUACGGGAGGCAGCGGUAGGAAAUCUUCCGCAAUGGGCGAAAGCCUGACGGAGCAACGCCGCGUGAGUGAUGAAGGUCUUCGGAUCGUAAAACUCUGUUAUUAGGGAAGAACAAAUGUGUAAGUAACUAUGCACGUCUUGACGGUACCUAAUCAGAAAGCCACGGCUAACUACGUG